UGAGAACCUGGGGACGCUAGGUUCCGGAACCUGACCUGAGCUGGGGCCUGUGCUUCCAGCGGGUGGUGGGGGGCCUGGUGUGCUGGCAUCAAGUAAGCCGACUACCUCGGCAAAGGCUUAGGGACAAGAGACCAGCAGCCUGAACUGGCUGGGGCAUCCGGAAGGCUUAGAUCUUGUGGCCAAGAGUUCAGACCGUGGCGAAGUGGAGAGUGACAUGCAGUUGGAUGGCGGUGACUGCGUGGUAUGGAAGAAAAUUCAGCUGAAAUUUGCUAGAAAAUGAGUUGUUUUGGAAAGAGACUGUAGAGAAAGGCAAAUGGAAGAAGAAAGCUUCUGUGCCCCCACAGAUACCGACUGAAAAGUGUUAGCAUGAGCAAAAGUUCCUAUCUAAUAUUAUAUGCUUUCCUUUGCUCCCAGGUCCUGCAACCCUGGUUCCAGUCUGGCAAGCAUUGUAGACCUGGCUGCUGAAGACUGACGGGGCCCAGGGUCCGCUGCCCCCACCGCCAUCACCACCUCGGAACCCAGGGUAACGCUGUCAGUCUUUGAUGAUGUCAGAAGUGGGAUCCAAAGUAGAGCUUAUAAUGACACCUAGGAGUGCUGAGUGACCAAGCAAGGUACCCACCAGGCCGAUUAUGUCCAUUGUUCUCUUGGAGCAGCUGGUCAUCAUGAACCUGAAGAUCAGAUCUUCUGAGAACAUCAGAAAAAGACUUCCCUUGCCAUCCACACUGCAGCAAAACUUCAGGACCUUAAAUGCUGGGUUCAUAAUUUCACAACUGAGAAGGGACCCUCCACACUCUUGGAACUGUACACCUAGACCAAACUAAAAUACAGUCACUCUUGCUAAAUGUAACAUAAUCAAACUAAGACUUUAAGGAAACAAGCAAAUCCUAGAAAAGACCAGGUUUUUGUAUUUUUUUUCCUCCUGUAAACAGUACCUUCCAACAUAAGGAGGUACCCUCUACUCUAACACUUACAAAAAUAAUAAGAAUAAUAACCUGGAGUCCUUGUAAGGUGAAACCUUACAAAACCCACUGCUCUGCUGUUUCCUAGUGGGUUUCAAGAGGAAAUAAGUACUUUUACAGUGGUGAUGGUGAAAUCAAUGACUAACAUUUUGGUCAAUCUCCCACAAUUUAGAGAAUGACCAAAACGGGGGAAUUGUUAAAUCAAGUUUAUCCUAAAUUGAUGGGAUCAAUCAUACUCCAAACCUUGACACUGCACAAUAUACCCAUGUAACAAACCUACACAUGUACCUCCUGAAUCUAAAAUAAAAGUUGAAAUUCUAAAAAAUGAAAUUAUUCUGGAGCUUUAAGAUUCAAUGCCUCUCUGCUGGGUUUUAUACUUG
rnacentral:lncRNA from 1 species